GCCAGAGUGGUGAAACUGGUAUACACGCUGUCUUCAGAGGGCAGUCCGCCUCGGCGGAUGUGGGUUCAAAUCCCACCUCUGGCA
rnacentral:tRNA from 1 species